rnacentral:rRNA from 1 species
UACGUAGGGCGCAAGCGUUGUCCGGAAUUAUUGGGCGUAAAGAGCUCGUAGGCGGUCUGUCGCGUCUGCUGUGAAAACCCGAGGCUCAACCUCGGGCCUGCAGUGGGUACGGGCAGACUAGAGUGUGGUAGGGGAGACUGGAAUUCCUGGUGUAGCGGUGGAAUGCGCAGAUAUCAGGAGGAACACCAAUGGCGAAGGCAGGUCUCUGGGCCACAACUGACGCUGAGGAGCGAAAGCGUGGGGAGCGAACAGG